CCUCGCGAAGUUAUCGCUUAUAAUGUAAACAACGUUUUUAAAGUUUGUUGAGUGUAACCAUUGCUUUGUUCUUGAAAUUGAAAUACCCAUUGGGAUUAAACGAGCGUAGCCGUAGAGUAACAAUACGAUGUUGAAAUUUACUGUCAAAGUUGGAUAGAGUUACGCUGAUUUACAAUGGAACAAACUGCUAUUGAUUGACAUGGAGGAUUUCUAAAUUAAGGAGUUGAUAUUCCGCAUCAGGUGAACAGAUACUUCAUGAAUUAUAUGAAUCACCAGGGAAAGGACCCAACUACUUGCACAGAUGCAUCCUGGCGGGUGAAAGAAGGGAUGAUCACUUUGGCAACAGAUUGUUCAACUGCUUAAAUGUUGAUGUGGACUCAGUCAAAGAAUUUGCUGUAACUGUGUAUGUCUCUUCACUAUGUGGACAUAAAGUGCUACAGCUGGUUGGAGAUUAAGAUCACAAUGUACUGUUUUAAUGGAGAACAUCUGUGAAUAUUUAUUCUAACAAUGGAAAUUCAAACCUGAAUUAUUAUAAUUAGAAAACAUUUUCAUGUACAUGCUGGAAUUUUAUUUGAAGUGUAAAACUAAAAUAAUUUAGAAUUAUUUUUAAACACAAACACAGUUUUAUUAUAGAAAUAAUUGUAUAAACUUAAGAGAAAUCAGUGUUUAAGUGAUGCAUUUUAUUUAGUGUUUGACCUAUUUAACACCUUAACUAUGUUUUUUUAUGUUGAAUGUAAUGGUAAUAAAAAAAACCAUAAGCUGACAUCCAAAGGGUUUUAACCUUAAAGGGAAUUGUUCACAGAUUCAGGCAUUUUUUUAAAGUAUGUCAGUAGAAGCCUUAAAUUGCUAGAUUUUAACCUCAAAAUAGAAUUUUAGAAGAGAUAAAAACACCAGAAAAAUAUUGGUAUCCAUGGGGGUCCUUAAAUUAUUUAACCUAUAACACUCGGCCAUCUUGAAUUUUAUAUUUAAGCAUUCAUUUUAUACUUGAUAUAUGUGACCCAUGUGAAAUAACAAAAUUUAACAGAAAAAACAGAAUCAUUAAAAAUUAUCCAAUCAUCACCCUGUUUAAUUGUAUCCAUUACACAUGAUGAAUACUCAUAAAAAAGCUGUAUUUUCAGUUUGAGUCUACAUCAUUAGUGGCAUUUUGCUCCCUGAUUUACAGUACAUGUAUUCUUUUUUAUUUUGUAUCUGUUCCUUAAAUUUGGAAAAUGGUCAGUUUUACUAUCUGUGCACAUUCCUUUUGAUCUUUAUUCUUAAUUUUGUGAUCAAUGGAAUGCCUAUUUCA